UACAGGGGGUGCAAACGUUGCUCGGAAUUAUUGGGCGUAAAGCGCGCGUAGGCGGCUACUUAAGUCGGAUGUGAAAGCCCUUGGCUCAACUGAGGAAGUGCACCCGAAACUGAGUGGCUUGAGUACUAAAGAGGGUCGCGGAAUUCCCGGUGUAGAGGUGAAAUUCGUAGAUAUCGGGAGGAACACCGGUUGCGAAGGCGGCGACCUGGGUAGAUACUGACGCUGAGGAGCGAAAGCGUGGGGAGCGAACAGG
rnacentral:rRNA from 1 species